AUGAGGAUCGAUGAUUUAGUCAGGUCGAAGCUCGCUCAACAGAACAACAUGCAAACGUAAAAUCUUCAGAGGGACGAAUUUCUGGAACAAAUGAAUACCAUCGAAUAAAUUACAUACAAUCAACUAUUUCAAAAACAGAGUUUUCAAUAAAUCUUCGGAGUAACCAAUUGACAAAGCAAGUAAAUAUCCAAUAAUUUGUAUAUGAAGAAAUGAGCAAUGCUGUUAUGGCGGAAGCUUUGAAGUUUGCAUGUUAGUUUCAGAGUUCGUGAUACUGUUAUGAAUGCUGUUAUGGCGGAAGCUUUGAAGUUUGCAUGUUAGUUUCAGAGUUCGUCCCUAUAUCCAGAACCAGUUUUUUUUGUUAACAUACAGAAACAUACCAAUAUCUACUACCUCUACUUGAUACAGGAGCUCUUCCACACAGUAACAGCUUUACAUUGGACUUUAUAGGAGCCACGAGGACCUCACCCAUCCUACUGGACUUGAUUUGGAUCAGCGAUUGUAAAAGCUAAGCUAAUUUUAUCUAUAUUAUUUGCAUUUCAUAGUACUAUUUACCUUUGAUUACAUUUAUUUUUGUGAACUUCCUUGAGUGCAGACAAUCAAGCAAAUUACGUAUAGAGU